UUGGCUAGUCGUGUGGAGGAGGGCAGGUUGUUCCACCAGCCAGGGACAACAACGGAGAACAGACAUGAUUGGAAUCGGAGACCCCGUGAAGAAGGAAUUUUUAGUCUCCUUUCGUUUGCCGAUCUGAGAGAGCGUGCAGGAGUGUAGCUAGGUAGUAUUGUGUUGAUGUAGGAGGGCGCAGUUUCAUUUACAGCCCUGUAGGCAGCAUCAAGGAUUUGAACUCAAUGCGAGCAGCUACCGGGAGCCAGUGGAGGGAGGUAAGAAGAGGUGUAACAUGGGUGUAUUUUGGCUGAUUGAAAAUGAGACGAGCUGCCAUAUUUUGGAUCAUCAUUAUUACUGUGCUGUGGCCACAUGUGGAAAGAACCUGUUUGGAAAUGGGACAAAGAUGGAUGUUGAAAGAGUCUUGCUGAUUGGGUCAAGUUACAGAAGAACCAAAUGUCUUCAUUGUAUGGGUGUUAAGGGACUCUCUACGACAGCAGGGAGGAGAGAAGACUUUAUAUGAGCAGACAAGCUGUACUUAUUUUGCAGGACAUCGUUGAUGAGCCACUGAAUUAUACAGCCCUGCAGUUCUCUAGGAGGAGAACUCAGAACAACACUAAGAAUAAAGAGCUGAUACAAGACUGUGUGUACA
rnacentral:lncRNA from 1 species